rnacentral:lncRNA from 1 species
CCAAACGGCGCUAAGUACUAUUCACUGUCUUCUUCGCCCAAAAUUCGUUCCCAAACUCGCCAAAAUUCAGGCGAGUGAACCCAAACUCCUCCUCACUCGCCCGAUUUCGAGCUAUAUCACGCGAUUGGAAGGUUCUGGAGGACGAGCGUUGGAUGAGUGAGAGGUGUUGGAUCGAUUUCACUCAAUCCGAGCUCACAUUCAUCAGAUGCUUGUUUUCAAAAGGACCUCAUUCGAUUUUGUAAAGGACAUAGAUUUUCGGGGAAAACAGGGAGAGAAAAGGUUGAAGGAUUUUUCUUUCUUUGGCUUUUCAUUUUUUUCUCUGAAAGCUUCUUUUAAAGGUUUGAAGAAGAAUACACAAAUUUUCUUUUUAAUUGUUAAUCUGACUUUGGGUUCCAAAGACAUGAAAAAUGAACUAAGGUCUAUUGAUUGUUCGUGAGGUUCAAGUUCGUCGACUUCUUGUUCUACUGUUGUCCUGCUAAUUUGCUGCUGAACCUUGCUAGGAUUUGGAGUCAAAAGGUGUAUUGUUGAUUCUAUAAUUAAUAAAGGAAGUUUGCAAUUUCAGGUUUGAUCUUUUCUCCUCUGUAACUCUGUUUUUUUUAGGUGUUCUUGAGCGAUGGGAUUUCUGUCUUUAGAAUGGUUUGGUCUUUGUUCUGUGAUCAAACUUCAUGGAGGAGUCGAGCUUGGGUUGAUCAUUUAGUCUCGAUUCGUAUUCGAAAGCGAUAUUCGAUAUGUUAUUUUGCCAAUGAAUCCCCUUCUCACUGGUUUGAUGUGUUGAGCAUUGUUCAGUCAAUAGGAGCUGAUUUGAGUGGUUGUCUUCUAUUCCUUAUAUGCUGUAAUUGUUAUUAUGGGGUCGAAAUAUAUUGAGUCAAGAUUUUAUCGCUUUCAAAUGAACGAUGUGUUCAGUUUUUUGUGAUUUUUAAGCGAGCAUGAAUCCAUGAUGCUUAUUCUCGUGAUGUUUGUUUUCCGGACUCUAAAUGAUUUGUUCUUGUGAAAUCUUCCUCAUCUACUAGAAGCUUUAAACUAGAACCAACCUCUUUAUUCGAGUAGUUGGUUUUUCAAAGUUUUGUUGGUCAGAAUUUUUGGUCAUGUUGUUAAGGAAAGACCGCUUCAUAAGAUGAGCUUUCCUUGUGUUUCUUCUAUUGCAUAUGACAUGCUUUGAUAUUCAAGGAUAUUUGCUUGUAUCUUAUGUCUUGGUCUCAAUAUAUUCGACAUGAAUCACUGAAGAGUUUCCCCUUUCUCUGAUUUCAUGAUCAUUUUUGCAUGUUUUUGCUGGUUUGAAGCUGCUGAAGUUCCCUUUUGAUAAUAUUUGCUCUUUGAGGCUCACCAUGUUGAAAGGAUCCAUGUUUUUUUUAGCAUGUAAAUUCUGUCAUUGAACUCCAGAAUAUCAUAUGAAGCUUGUGUAAUAGUGUGGAUUUGCUUUCUUUGAGAUCAUUUUGCAUUUGCCAGUCGAGCUAUAUGCCUUUGUCCAUUCUGAUAAGCAUUGUAUUUUAGGUACAAAGUCGCGUUGAGUUCUGUUGAAAUUGCCAUGAGCCAGCUACCUUGUUUAACAUUCUUUGUGGGCUUGAGUGCCCUUUCAAUUGUCUUGACUCGCCAAUUCAGGCUGUCCCUAUGUCCUGGAAUUCUGAAUUCAAUUAAGAAUGAACCUAGGAGUUUGACACGAAUUGAGACCUAGAAUACCUAAACAGUUCCUUCCGAUGGCUUUGAUUCAUAUUUUGGCGUUGUUGUUUACUGAUUCUGGUCCUUGACUUGUUCAAAUGUGUAUUCGUUUGGUUUUACUAAUUGUUUAGUUAGAUUUUAUAUUGCUUUCAUGUUCUUUAAUU